GACCCAUCAGGCAAUGGAUUCUGCCGGACUUCCCUGGAAGUCGAACCGCCCGUCAGGGCUGAUGAUUCCUACCUCGCU
rnacentral:ncRNA from 2 species